CCUAUUUUAUAAAUCCUGUUAACAUUUCACGGUUUAAUUUCAGAUCGUGAGAACCAGUCUGUCCUGAUUACUGGAGAAUCUGGUGCAGGAAAGACUGUGAACACAAAACGUGUCAUUCAGUACUUUGCAACUGUAGCGAUGUCUGGUGCAAAGAAGGCAGAGCCUGUCCCUGGAAAAAUGCAGGGAUCACUGGAGGACCAGAUCAUUGCAGCCAACCCUCUGCUGGAGGCUUAUGGUAAUGCCAAGACUAUAA